rnacentral:rRNA from 1 species
GAUGAACGCUGGCGGCGUGCCUAAUACAUGCAAGUCGAGCGAACGGACGAGAAGCUUGCUUCUCUGAUGUUAGCGGCGGACGGGUGAGUAACACGUGGAUAACCUACCUAUAAGACUGGGAUAACUUCGGGAAACCGGAGCUAAUACCGGAUAAUAUUUUGAACCGCAUGGUUCAAAAGUGAAAGACGGUCUUGCUGUCACUUAUAGAUGGAUCCGCGCUGCAUUAGCUAGUUGGUAAGGUAACGGCUUACCAAGGCAACGAUGCAUAGCCGACCUGAGAGGGUGAUCGGCCACGCUGGAACUGAGACACGGUCCAGACUCCUACGGGAGGCAGCAGUAGGGAAUCUUCCGCAAUGGGCGAAAGCCUGACGGAGCAACGCCGCGUGAGUGAUGAAGGUCUUCGGAUCGUAAAACUCUGUUAUUAGGGAAGAACAUAUGUGUAAGUAACUGUGCACAUCCUGACGGUACCUAAUCAGAAAGCCACGGCUAACUACGUG